rnacentral:rRNA from 1 species
UACGUAGGGUGCAAGCGUUGUCCGGAAUUAUUGGGCGUAAAGAGCUCGUAGGCGGUCUGUCGCGUCGGCUGUGAAAACUCGGGCUCACUCCGAGCUUGCAGUCGAUACGGGCAGGCUAGAGUUCGGCAGGGGAGACUGGAAUUCCUGGUGUAGCGGUGAAAUGCGCAGAUAUCAGGAGGAACACCAAUGGCGAAGGCAGCUCACUGGGACGGUAUGACGCUGAGACGCGAAGCGUGGGGAGCAAACAGG